rnacentral:rRNA from 1 species
AUGGCAAAAGUUUGGUGGAGUGGAUCCCUUGAUCGUCGUGCGAUGCACUGGUUGGCAUGGGAUAAACUUGCAUCUUCAAAAGCCCAAGGGGGCAUGGGCUUCCGGGAUAUGAAUUUGUUCAACUUGGCGUUGCUGGGGAAACAUGGAUGGAGAUUCAUUACCAAUCCAGAUUCGUUAUGCGCCAGGGUCAUAAAGGGCAGGUACUUCCCUGAUGGGGAUUUCUUGGAGGCCACAGUGCCGAAGACGGCCUCUUCUAUUUGGCGCGCUAUUGUCGCAGGCAGGAAGGCGCUUGAUGUUGGUCUAAUCAAGAGGGUUGGCGACAGGACUACUAUCUCAGUUUGGCAUGAUAAGUGGAUCCCAGGUUUACAUACUUUGUCUCCUAUGAUUGUACCAGGAGGGACGACGCUGGGCACUGUGGACCAGCUAAUUGAUACCGACAACUGGUCAUGGCGUCGGGAAUUAAUACGUGAUGUCUUUGAUGUGCCUGACGCGGAUGCAAUCCUGAAUAUCCCACUACGCAGAGGUGGCGGGGAUGAUUUUCUUGCUUGGGCCCAUGAAAGAAGCGGCAUCUAUUCUGUCAAGUCGGCAUACCGUACUCUUGUGAAUCAAAAAGAGCGUCUAGCUCUCGAGGAAGGGACGGUUACCGGAUCCUCACAGACUGAAGAACAAAUGUGGAAGUCGCUAUGGAAGCUCAAGGUUUUGCCCAAGGUGCGUGUAUUCUGGUGGAGGGUUGUCCGUGGCAUUCUCCCUGAUGAAUCCACCUUGAGGUAUCGCCAUAUCAAACUCAUCAGUCAAUGCAAUGUUUGUCAUGCAAUGGAUGAAGAUUUAAUGCACGCACUAGUGCAUUGCUCUCAUGCCUCAUGCCAAGUUGUUCUGGGAACAAGCCUUCGUUUUGUUCGAUAUACGCAGGCCACGCUUACACCCGGAUACAUGGGCCCGUGA